UGGGGAAUAUUGCGCAAUGGGCGAAAGCCUGACGCAGCGACGCCGCGUGAGGGAUGAAGGUUUUCGGAUCGUAAACCUCUGUCAGAAGGGAAGAAACCGCACUGUGCUAAUCAGCAGUGCCUUGACGGUACCUUCAAAGGAAGCUCCGGCUAAAUACGUGCCAGCAGCCGCGGUAAUACGUAUGGUGCGAGCGUUGUCCGGAUUUAUUGGGCGUAAAGGGUGCGCAGGCGGCUUUACAAGUUGGAUGUGGAAUAUAGUGGCUCAACCACAAACGUGCAUCCAAAACUACAAAGCUUGAGUUGAGGAGAGGUAAGUGGAAUUCCUGGUGUAGCGGUGGAAUGAGUAGAUAUCAGGAGGAAUACCGGUGGCGAAGGCGACUGACUGGACUUAAACUGACGCUCAGGCACGAAAGCGGGGGGAGCAAACAGG
rnacentral:rRNA from 1 species